ACCCUGUGACACAUAUGUGUAUCAGACCGUGCCAUAUAUGACACCCAAAUCUUAUCAUUUCUGAAAAAAGAGCGAAAAAGAAACGAUUGACGAACUAUGGGAUGAUUAAAGCAACUCAAGGAAGCGUGUCUAUGGAAGCUCAGUGGUUUGUGAAUUCAGGAACUAGGGUUGGAAAUGGAUGGCCUCUGAACCGCCAUUUCCAGAGAAAUCGGAAAGCCGCUCAUUCCGUUACUCUGUCGAUGCCCAGCCGCCGCCGAGCUGUUUCUCGUCGGCGGCUCACCGUUACGGCGGCGGCGGUUGCGGAGGCGAACAAGAGUUCGACGAAGGCGGAAACUCCGGUGAGGAUAGUAGCGAUUGUUGGUGAAGGAAGCAUUAGCCCCUUAAAAUCCACUCCCUGGGAAGAAGUUCUGCUUCAUACCGCAAAACGACUAAAAUGGAUCGACGAAAGCUACAAAAUGCACGUCUUUGCUGAUAGGUUCUGUGAUGUAACUCAUCCCGACACCAAAAACAUUCAAAUCGUUUGCAAUGCAGAUAUUUUGGUCAUUGUUGCUGUCACGAGUAAUGAUUCAGUUGUAUGGAUACAAACGAACUGCAAAAACGUCCAAAAUAUAAUCUGCUUCGACUCUGCAACAGAGUUGGUUAACAAAUUAGGGGGGUUAUCCUUCCCCAGUGAAACCGAAAGAAAUGUACUGGGAAACAUUUUUGGAAAUUCUCAGGUGUUGGAGAGAAGAAAGAAAUCUGAGGAGGUAGUGCAGACCGUAUUUGAGGCGUGGGAUCGUCGUAAUUCGGACGAUAUACGGUUCUGUUUGUUGGUAAUAAUCAAUGCAUAUAUAAAGCCUGUUCCUAUAUUGAAGAAUCUAAGAUCAAAAGGCUUUUCAACUCUAAACUGCAUGGUAAAGAAUUGUGGAAGGCAAAUAUUAAAUUGCUUGAUGGAUCCUAAUUGUAGGAAAGCGCUUCAAUGCUUGAAUCAGUGCAGCCCUGUGGAUCAAGUGUGCAACUACAGGUGCAUUGCUUCCUAUGAAAGUCCAAAUCUUGAAGCAUUUUCCUUAUGUGUGCUGCAAAAGAACAAUUGUCUCGAGUUGGAUGCAAAAGUUCCCGAAAAGCCCUACGUGUCUCCAAUGGAGAAAUUUCGAGGGAAGGACCUAUGUCACGAAACAGCGGAGGAUCUUUUUGUUGGUUGGUUAGGGAAUUUGGAGUGGAGUUGGCGUGUGGUAGCUGGGCAGAACCCUGCUUAUGAUCAAUUUCCAUGUCAAUACCAACUGUUUUACAGGGGGAAAGCGAGAGGAUCGUUCUGGUACGAGCCUGUUUUCAUGGUGAAAACAUUGGAAGGAAAGAUGGUGUGGAGGCGACGAAGAUAUCGAGUAAAGAGGGGACAAACUGCAGGGACAUUCUUGUUCAGUGUGCUGGAUAAUGGUGUUGUUUCAAAUGAAUUUUGGAGUAUUGUGGAUGUAUGUGAAGAUCUAUCUUGGGGUUUGUUUCAUUAUAAAGGCGCUGCUCGAGCUGCGGGACAGUCGUAUACGGGCGCUGUUCUUGUGAGUCCAGAUGGUUCAUACCCUCAGAAUGAUCAUCAAAAAGAGAGAGUGGUUGCUGCUUUGGAGAAAUGUGGAAUUAAAGAGUGGGAGCUCUUUGCAGUUGAUAACUGUUCAUGUAUUGAUCCUCCUCUUGGAAUUCCAGACGCUUCAACUUUGCAUUCUGUGAUUCAGGUUAAAUGAAACUAUGAGAGGGAAACACCAACUUCCUUUACACAUUAAAACCUCAGGCGAUGGCUUCCAAGAACCCUUAUGGACUAGAAUCUCUCAAAUAACUUAGUUUCAUUUGAAAUGA